UUAGACAUGGUGUAACGGUAACACCGCCUCCCUUACUUCGGCUCGCCUACCCAAGUAUAUGAGGCAGUCGAGGGUUCGACUCCCUCUGUCCGAA